AUGGUAUGCAUACUUGUCAACAUACAUACUGCCUAUAUGCUGCAGAGAAGUAUAUGUAUUCUGCAGUUCCAAACUCUGCGUAUAUGUUUUGAGUUCUGCUCACUAGGUCUCAUUUAUCACUGGGACCUGGUGAGGCAACUUUGCCGAGGUUUCCAAGAUAUAAUUUGGUUUCCUCUUUUUCCCUGUUGCCUACAUCGAGUUGCUUGGUUGCUUGAGCUCAUUGGCCUUAUUUGGUUUAUGGAAGGCAUCCUUGCCAACAGCGCCGUAGCCAGGCCCAGGGCUGCCCUGGCCGUGGACUGGGGCGUGAAGAGAAAACUCUUCGUAUAA
rnacentral:rRNA from 1 species